CAUCAGGAGGCACUAAGCCUAUGCCACCUUCUUAAAUGGUUUUGGAGACAAGCACACGUGUAUAUUAAACAAUCCCUAAGAGAUGUGAAUUGGACUCUUCAUUAUCUUGAUUCUGCCCUUAUCUUCUGAAUUCUCAAGCCCCCCAAUGGACUGCUAUCAUUACUCAGAGCCUUACAUUUGAUUGACAAAUGCUCUAUCUAAGAGAAACUAUUGUAUCUUCAAAUCUGUCACUUGAGAUGGAAAGCAGGUCCCUGAAUCCAUGAGCUAUGGAAUAGGGUCAUUCUGUCAGGGUUGGAUUGUGACAUGGAGAGUAUAAGUCAUGCUGAGAUAUGAUGCUUUGUCUCUUGAAGCAUAAAUUGUGGUUGCAACUUAAUAGGUGGUACUUUUGUGCUGCUUCUGAACUUAAAUAAUACUUCUGAUGUCAAUAGCAUCUAUAGAUUCAUGUGUCCAUUUAAUAGCAAGCUUAUUUAUGUUUAGGCUACUAAAUGAUACACCUAUUUCUUUUCAUUCAUAAAUUUAAUUUGUUGCAGUAAUACCUAUAUUUGCUAGAAAUG